GCCUGGGUGGCUCAGUCAGUUGAGCGUCUGACUUUGGCUCAGGUCAUGGUCUCAUGGUCUGUGAGUUCGAGCCCUGCAUCAGGCU
rfam:Felis catus isolate Cinnamon breed Abyssinian chromosome X, whole genome shotgun sequence.